UCUAAGUUACAUGUAGGCUUCCCACCACAAUUAUCAUUUGGAUGCACAAUAUUAGAUUUUAAAAUUUACUCUCCUCCCCUUUCUCACAAAACACUUAUGAAUCUGGUUUUUGUCUACCCAUUCCCUCCCACCAAUUAACAUGAGGAUCAUCAUAUUCCUGAAUGCCUCAGUUGAUCGCCCUUGCCAAAAGAUCUCUUGAAACUCCAACAAAGCAACUAGUUCACACAAAAAUGAGCAUCGACCCAUCAUCACAAACUUACUUAAAUCCUUAUAGAAGCACCAAUUUUCAUCAUAAAAUGUCAAAUUUCCUUUCCUCCAAGCCCCCCACGCUCCUUUCAUCCAAGCCAAUCAAAACGGCCAAUCGAAUCAAAUGCAAUUUAUACGCAAAGUGUUAAGGAGAAACACUUGGAUUGAGAUGCAAAGAGUUAAUCAAAGAAAGCAAAGGCGACAUACGGCACCACAAACAACCGGUUGGAGGCUUCGAGGGCUUGUGACUAGAUGGAGGCUUUAAGAAGGGGUUGCGACGGGCUGGAGGCUUCGACGGGUUUGAGCGAAGGAGAUGAGGGGCAUGAGUGAAUUUUUGAUAGAAUAGAUGAAAGGGAAUGGCUCGUGGGUGAAACAUCUCUUGCAAGUGAUGCUAUUCUGUGUGGUUAAUAUUAUUGUAAUUAUUGUGUGAUUUCUGACGUAGUUGCAUGUGAAAGGAGGAUUUCUAUACAUCAAAUAAUAGCUCGACUGCUUAUUAUUGGGUA